rnacentral:rRNA from 1 species
UACGUAGGGUGCAAGCGUUGUCCGGAAUUAUUGGGCGUAAAGAGCUCGUAGGCGGUCUGUUGCGUCGGCUGUGAAAACCCGCGGCUUAACUGCGGGCUUGCGGUUGAUACGGGCGGGCUAGAGUUCGGUAGGGGAGACUGGAAUUCCUGGUGUAGCGGUGAAAUGCGCAGAUAUCAGGAGGAACACCGGUGGCGAAGGCGGGUCUCUGGGCCGAUACUGACGCUGAGGAGCGAAAGCGUGGGGAGCGAACAGG